UUUGAACCCCUUUAUCUCCCAAAUCCUCUCGAACCUUCCUGGAACCAUAAUCAUCUCCCACCUUAUUUCACGGUGUUUCCACGAGGAAUCCAUGACGUCUCAGGCCAUGGAUGGUCUGUACUCACCUUUUUAUCACCAAUAGACCUAAGCUAUUCAGGGAUGUGAAACUUUACUUCGAUGGUUCUCUCCAAGACCUUCUCAGAAUUGUAGAUCUAUGGCUUCACCGACUAUUACUCCGGCAUAUUUGAGCAAUAUGAGUCUUUUUAACUCAGGAUCGGACUUUCCUCAAGACCUUUCUCAUUUCUAAGGGUUUUCUCUGCAAACCUAAGCUGUCCGAGGUUCUUUACUUACUUAUUUUCUUAGAUCUAGAAUAUGUCUAUGUUCUAUUUAACGUUUAAAAAGUUUUCCCAUAAUCUCCUUUUCAAAAUCGUUGUCUUUCGAUUUAGGGUUUCUGAAAGGUUUUUCAAAAGAACCUUUCUGAUUCUUUUGUUCUUUGUUUAUGUGUUUGUCUGACCUCUUUUACUACGUAUGUACUGAUCUUCUAUUUUCUUUUUCAACUCUACAUGUUAUUCCUGUACUCACAUGUUAAUCUGUGUUGUUUUCCUUAUUCUUUGCUAUAUGUGUUUAUGGUUGAGUUCUUUGAUUUUGUUUACUUUACUGAACUCUGUAUGUGUUCUUGCUAAGCAUAUUUUAUCUACUUUUAUUUAAGCUCGUAUCAUCUCUUUCUUCUGAACUUGUUGAAAUUCCGAGUUUUUCAAACAUGUUCUCAUGACCUCGAAUCAGUUUUCUUUCUAUCAUGUAUGUUUGUCUCUCAUAAGUCUUUGGAAAAGACUUUUGAGCCUCUCUCAAGUGGAUUACCUUCUCAUCUCAAUUGUCUGUCUCAAUUCGGAACCCUAGUAUUUGGGAAUUUCUUGGCAAUUUUGAUUUCUUGUGUGCGAGUUAGGGUUCCACUUUGGGAUCCCGGACUCUUAGACUCGUUUUGAGUAUGCAAACUGGACGUGUACCACUUUUGCUUAUGAUUUUGAUGUUUCUUUGAUUAAACUCUCUUCUAAAUAACUUGACAAUCCCUUCUUGAUUCACUUAAUUGUGUGCUUUAUAUAUGAGAAAUUCCUCUUUCAAAAGGUUUUUAUCAACUAAUUGAUUGAUUCUGAAACCCUUUUAAUAAGGCUGAUGGAUUGUCACUGAUUUUUCUUUGAUUGACCCUCCUUUACCUUUCUUGACUUGGUUCAUUCGAAUUGAACUUGUAAUUCUGGUUUCAAUGGCUGUUUGAUUGAUUCCCUUGCCAUAUUUGGCACAAAUAGUGUACAUUGAUUGUUUUUCUUAAAUAACUUCUUUGUAUUCACCCCUUUUGUGCUACUUUAUAAAUGUUUUAGUUAAAACUUCUUUCUUUAACUGGAUUUUACCCAUUGAAAUCAGAAUCCCUUAAUCAAAAGGAGAUUGAUUUCAAUAUUUUUCCUUGCCUUUCUUACUUGUUUUUUGCACUAUAAAAGGGAGUGCCCUUAUGCACUUUUAAGAGGACACACUUCAAGUUCAAUACCUCGAACUUCUUGCUUUCAACUCAUACAUUCACAUUACUUCUUUCAGUUUAAUACUCUUUCAACACUCUACUUUGCUUGAGAUCUGUGGGAACUGCUUUGCUUGCAACUUGGCUUUUUCAAGACUAUUAUUUUUACUUGUUUUCUCAUGAAACUGGUAUGUUCU
rnacentral:lncRNA from 1 species